ACUUGCACGUAAGUAAUAAUGCGUACGAUCUCCCUUGUCUCUGGUUGGCGCACUACAAAAGCAACACCAACCUUACGUUCAGCAUAGACAUCGAAAACUGUCAUGGACGUAGCAGCCGUUGCUGGAGUUAUUGGCUUACUGCUAAUUUCUUGCUACGUGUUCUUCUCCUUCUUGAAGAGGGGUAGUGCAGGUCGUGCUCCCAAGCCACCGGUAGCAGCCGGUAGCUGGCCUUUGAUCGGUCAUCUUUACCUCUUAGGUGGUUCCUCUAAGCCUCCUUACGAAACCUUAGGAGCUUUAGCAGACAAAUAUGGAGCAAUAUUCAGCAUCCGAAUCGGUGUGUACCCUGCUGUGGUGGUUAACAGUUGGGAGCUUGCCAAAGAGUGUUUUACUACUCUUGAUGUUAUCGUCUCUUCUCGUCCCAAAUUCACUGCUGCAAAAAUCUUGACAUACAACUAUGCUAGUUUUGCGUUCUCCCCAUAUGGAAAAUUCUGGCGUGAGAUGCGUAAGAUAACGGUUUCAGAGUUACUUUCCACUCGCCGGUUUGAACUGCUUCGAGAUGUUAGAGAUUCGGAGGUGCAGAGUUUGUUAAAAGAACUGUACAGAACAUGGGUGGAGAAAAGAGGUGACUCCGAUGAUUUGUUGGUGGAGAUGAAGCAAUGGUUAGGAGACAUCAAUCUGAACGCGUUUCUGAGGAUGAUUGCGGGAAAGCGAUUCUCCGCCGAAAAUGAGCAACAGGCGAGGCGAGUUAGGAGGGUACUCAGAGAGUUUUUCCGUUUGAUGGGAUUAUUUGUGGUUGGGGACGCGAUUCCUGCUCUUGGGUGGCUUGAUUUGGGAGGCGAAGUGAAAAAUAUGAAAAAUACGGCUAUAGAGUUGGAUCGCAUCGUUGUUGAAUGGUUAGAAGACCAUCGCCAGAAAAGAGACACUGGUGAAACUAUCGCAGAACAAGACUUCAUUGAUGUGUUGCUUUCCGUCAUUGAUGGCGUCGACCUUGCUGGUUACGAUGCUGACAACGUCAUAAAAGCCACUUGCUCGACCUUAAUUGCAGCCUCAGUAGAUACUACGACAGUUUCCACCAUAUGGGCACUCUCGUUAUUGAUGAAUAAUCGACAUGCUCUAAAGAAAGUUCAAGAUGAAUUGGAUGAGCACGUGGGCAAGGAAAGACUAGUGCAUGAUUCAGAUAUUAACAAAUUAGUUUACCUACAAGCUGUAGUUAAAGAGACACUGCGAUUGUAUCCACCGCCUUUCUCAGGUCCGCGGGAAUUCACACAGGACUGUAUCUUAGGUGGCUACCAUAUUCCAGCAGGUUCCCGAUUUAUCUUGAACCUUUGGAAAAUGCACAGAGACCCACAAGUAUGGUCAGAACCAUCAGAGUUUCAGCCAGAAAGGUUUUUGGGAACGCACACGGGUAUGGAUGUCAAGGGUAAGCAUUUUGAGCUUCUUCCCUUUGGCUGUGGACGAAGGUCGUGUCCUGGCCUAUCAUUUGCCCUUCAAAUGACACACUUGACAUUAGCAGCUUUGUUGCAAGCAUUUGAAGUCACUACCCCAUCCAAUGCCCAGGUUGAUAUGACUGCCACUUUUGGACUCACAGUCAUCAAAUCCACUCCCCUCGAGAUUUUGAUCAAACCUCGUUUAUCACAUCAGCUUCUCCUUAUAGAUGAAGCUAAAGAAAAUUCAGUACAUUAACCUUCAGCAUCUAUACCUAAGGUCUCUAUGGUUUUACCUCUCCCUCCAACGCCGUGAAUUGGGCUGCCAUUCUACAAACAAACAAAUAUUAAGUUACUAAUCAUUCAACUGAGGCAGCGCAAAGUGACAUGGUUCUCACGAUUCAGUAUCUAGAUGCAGCAGUAGCUGUAGUUAUUGGCUUUCUACUGUUUGCUUACUUGCACUUCAUCAAGAGGGGUAGAGCAAGUGAUUCCUGUAAGCCACCCGUAGCCGCCGGUGGCUGGCCUUUGAUCGGUCAUCUUUACCUCUUAGCUGGUUCAGCUCAGCCUCCUCACAUAACCUUAGGAGCCUUAGCAGACAAAUAUGGAUCAAUAUUCAGCAUCCGAAUCGGUGUGCACCCUGCUGUUGUGGUCAACACUUGGGAGCUCGCCAAAGAGUGUUUCACUACUCUUGAUCUCUUUGUCUCUUCUCGUCCCAAAUAUACCGCUGCCAAAAUCUUGGGACACAACUAUGCUAAUUUUGGGUUCUCCCCUUACGGACACUUCUGGCGUGAGAUGCGUAAGAUAACCGCCUCAGAGUUACUUUCUGCUAGCCGGUUUGAACUGCUACGAGAUAUUAGAGAUUCCGAGGUGAAAAGCUCGUUGAAAGAACUGUAUAGAUCAUGGGUCGAAAAUAGAGGAGGCUACGAUGAUUUUUCAGUGGAGAUGAAGAAGUGGUUUGGAGACAUGAAUCUGAACGUGAUUCUGAGGAUGAUUGCGGGAAAGCGAUACUCCACCAAAAGUGAAGAUGAGCAACAAGUUAGGCGAAUUCGGGGGGUUUUCAGAGAGUUCUUCCGUUUGACGGGAUUGUUUGUGGUUGGUGACGCGAUUCCUGCUCUUGGGUGGCUUGAUUUUGGAGGCGAAGUGAAAGAGAUGAAGAAUACGGCUAUAGAAAUGGACAGCAUCGUUGGUGAAUGGUUAGAAGAGCAUCGCCGGAAAAGAGAUAGCUCAGGUGAGAGUGCGACUAAAACAGAACAAGACUUCAUUGAUGUGUUGUUGUCCGUCCUUAACGGCGUUGAUCUUGCUGGUUACGAUGUUGAUACCGUCAUAAAAGGCACCUGCUCGGUACACACGCGGCACUACAUCAAUUCUUUAGCUUUAUUAUUUCAAGUAUCAACUUAAUUAAUCAGCUUAGCUGGUUUUAUUUCACCCUCUGUUUAAUUAUAGUUAGUACAUCUCUGCUUGUUACAGACCUUAAUUGCUGGGGCAACUGAUACAACAACUGUUACCUUGACGUGGGGGCUCUCCUUAUUGCUGAAUAAUCGCCAUGCUUUGAUCAAAAUUCAAGAGGAACUGGAUGAGCACGUGGGUAAGGAAAGGCUAGUGAAUGAAUCAGACAUCAAGAAAUUAGUUUAUCUUCAAGCCGUAGUUAAAGAAACAAUGCGAUUGUAUCCUGCUGGGCCAUUAUCAGGCCCACGUGAAUUCACACAGGACUGUUCCUUGGGUGGUUAUCAUAUUAAAGCUGGUACACGAUUUAUUUUGAACAUUUGGAAGCUACAUAGAGACCCACGAGUAUGGUUGGACGCGUUGGAGUUUCAGCCCGAAAGGUUUUUGGACACCCAUAAGGGUGUGGAUGUCAAGGGUCAACAUUUUGAGCUCCUUCCUUUUGGCGGUGGAAGAAGGGCUUGCCCUGGCAUAUCAUUUGGUCUUCAAAUGACACACUUGGCAUUAGCAUCUUUUCUGCAAGCAUUUGAAGUUAUGACUCCAUCUAAUGCUCAAGUUGAUAUGAGCGCCACUUUUGGACUCACAAACAUCAAAACCACUCCACUUGAUGUUUUAGUCAAGCCUCGAUUAUCACAUCAGCUUCUCUUUGUUGACGAAGUUAGAGGAAACCCACACAUUAAUCAACAUUCCAUGCGUUGAUUGUAUUCCCCACUUAGAUAACCACCAAGGCCUUUAUGGUCUCACCUCCCCCACCAUGAUUUGAUGUAUGUUUUGAAUUAGAUGGUUGAUGUAUAUCUGAAUACUGUUAGUGUUUCAAAAUAAUACUUAUAUUAAAAGUUGG